GUCCCUAUUUCCAACAGUUUUCCAGUGGUUGCAUUGAGUGCAGAGCCUCUCACAGAACGAGGAGGGGAUCAGUGAGGGAAAUGGUACCAACACAAGGAGAACCACAGGGAUGGCAGAGGAAAAAUCAUCCUUGCAGAAAUGCCAAUGUCAACCCCGGCAGGGAGAGGAGGAGGAAAACACACAAACCUCUGUGGGAAUGGUGCCUGCGUGGGAAAUAACACCCCAAAGGACCACGUUUGGGGGUGUCAGAGCCCCUCUGGUAACAGAAAUCUGGAGCUCCUGCCCAGACCACCACGGCUGGGACUGAGCAGCACUCUCCAGAGAAGAUGCCCAAACCACUGAACAGCGGGAGCAGCAGGAGAAGCCUCCCACAAAGGAUGUGUGUGAGUGGAGGGUGUUUAUCUCGGCUUCUGCUUUCCAAAAACCAGAAAGCACCUUGGUGUUGUGAAACAAGGACAAGUUUGGAAAAUGCUGUUGGCAGAGCUGUGAGCCCGGGGGAAAGCCUCAGAGUGGUGGGGGACAAGAGGACCUCUGGCCUCAGCUGCCUCGAAGGGACAGGGUGAGUCUGGGAGUGAAGCUGGUGCCAGUCUUGGGGUUAAGAAGAAAGUGAAAAAAAAGCUUAAUGUUAAAAACCCUGACAGAUGCUUUUAGGACAUGAGUAACACCUCUGACUACACUGGGACUGUGGGUCCACUCCAAGUGAUGUGCGUGCUAAGCGCUGCUUGGACCGGUGCCACCCGGCACUCGCUGCUGCUGGUAAUGAACUUGGCUUCUUUGGGAGCUGCAAG